CUUUGACUGGGGGUGCGAUGCCGUGAGGUGACUUUGGGGGCAUGAGGACUAGGUCGCCAGGGUCACAGCAUUUGAAGCUGGGGUACGAGACCUAUAAGUGUGUAGAGCCUGGCAGCCUUUUACAGCCCUGUGUUUCAGAGAUGGCUUCCUAAUAAAAUCCAGAAACACACAGCCCUAUUAGUCAGACACUCGUGACGUUUGUGCCUCUGCUCCUCACGGUGCUGUGCUGGACAGCUGGCAUGCCAGGGUUUGAGAAGAGCGGAUGGCCUACCGUGCUCGCGGUUCCCUGGGCAAACUUGCUGGCUGCCUCUGUUCCUAUUUUACUGUAAAUCUGAC
rnacentral:lncRNA from 1 species